GAUGAAGAACGCAGCGAAAUGCGAUACUUGGUGUGAAUUGCAGAAUUCAGUGAAUCAUCGAGUCUUUGAACGCACAUUGCGCCCCCUGGUAUUCCGGGGGGCAUGCCUGUCCGAGCGUCAUUGCUGCCCUCAAGCACGGCUUGUGUGUUGGGCCUCCGUCCUCCUCCCGGGGGACGGGCCCGAAAGGCAGCGGCGGCACCGCGUCCGGUCCUCGAGCGUAUGGGGCUUCGUCACCCGCUCUUGUAGGCCCGGCCGGCGCUUGCCGACACAUCAAUCUUUUUUCCAGGUUGACCUCGGAUCAGGUAGGGAUACCCGCUGAACUUAAGCAUAUCAAUAAGCGGAGGA
rnacentral:misc_RNA from 1 species